GUGAAGCAUCCUGUUAAGUCAGGCAACGAGCGAGACCCACGCCAACAGUUGCCAGCUCGUCCUCCGGGAUGGUGGGGACACUGUUUGGGACCGCUCUGCUAAAGAGGAGGAAGGAAUGGGCAACGGUAGGUCAGCAUGCCCCGAAUUAUCUGGGCUACACGCGGGCUACAAUGGGUGGGACAAUGGGUAUCGACACCGAAAGGUGAAGGCAAUCUCCUAAACCCAUCCGUAGUUCGGAUUGUGGGCUGCAACUCGCCCACAUGAAGCUGGAAUCUGUAGUAAUCGUGUCUCAAAAUGGCACGGUGAAUAUGUCCCUGCUCCUU
rnacentral:rRNA from 1 species